UGUAUUAUGCCCUUUGUCGUGGGAAUUAAACGUUUCCCUGGUUAUUUUUUUACAGCCACCUCUUGCCCGCUAGUUUAUCUUCCGGUAUGUGGGGAUAAUGGACGGACGUAUUCUAACGCCUGUUUUGCGAGGGCUGCCCGUGUCAUCGUCGCAUCUAAAGGAGAAUGUGGCGAAAACUUACGUUUGGAGGGACAUGCCAUCCCUGUCAUCAAACAGAAAUCCAGUUAAUGCUCGGAAAUCGGAGUAUGAGCCUGUCAGGGUGGGUAGCUCCACCCUCCUCACUAGCUAUUCGCUGCUUCUGUUUCUGGUGUUUUACACGCUUUUCCGGGUCUACAGCACAGCUGCGCUGGCUACAGAAUCCGCUCUUGUCAGUUGGUUGGUUUUUGGUUUAGCGCCGUAUCUCCAUUCUCCAUUAAAUGUCGAUACUUCCGGGUUGUCUUGCGUCGUGAGCUGUGGCAGCAGCCACCUUAUAAGCCUUGUACUGGAUUUUGUCUAACAUAUUCAGCGCGAUUGUUUUCUUUUGGUUCCUGUACUCGAUCCGAUAGGAUGGUAGCGCACUGCGGUAAAGCCUUGAGAAGAAAUAAAUAUUAAGAAUGAUGUGCCGUUCA